UACGUAGGGUGCAAGCGUUGUCCGGAAUUAUUGGGCGUAAAGAGCUCGUAGGCGGUUUGUCGCGUCUGCUGUGAAAACUCAGGGCUUAACUCUGAGCUUGCAGUGGGUACGGGCAGACUAGAGUGCGGUAGGGGAGACUGGAAUUCCCGGUGUAGUGGUGAAAUGCGUAGAUAUCGGGAGGAACACCAGUGGCGAAGGCGACUACCUGGCCUGUUCUUGACGCUGAGGCGCGAAAGCUAGGGGAGCAAACAGG
rnacentral:rRNA from 1 species